UGGAGGCCUGUGGGAAGCUGAGUUCAUCUGCUGUCUGAGCCCAGACUGACCUGCCAAGGCUAAUAUCCAAGACAAGUCACUGUUCCUAGGAGAGUGGGAUUCAUAUGGGACAAAUCAUCUCUGAUGUGGUUUCCUUCCAGGAUCCUGUGUGAUCCAGAGGAUCUGGGCACCAAUGGAUGAGUCUUUCCCCAUACCAGGUAUCUGUGUUGUUGGAUACAAAUGGUUGUCCCAGGUGGGAGGGGUGGGGCACAGAAGUGGGUGAUGCAGAUGACUUGGGAAGGCUGGACAGGGAUCACCUGAAAGCACAAGAAGUGGGGCUAUCUGGUACACCCAGGCUCUGAUUUUGUCCUAGAGAGCCUUCCUGGACACCUUCUGUGGACUGAGCCAAUCUCCUGAGGGAGGCUGUGAUCUUCAGAAUCUGAAGUCUCUGGAGAUGUGUUGGAAUAACCUCCAUGAGGAGGGAAGGACCAAAUGCUGGGGUACAUGGAACCCUCUGAGGACCAAGAAAUAACUUAGAUUCUCCAGCCCAUCCAUGAUGCUGAGAUAAAGGGCGUCUCUGCUGCCAGAGUCUGAGAAGGGACUGUUCAGCAGAUACACAAGAAACCUCUCUCUGCCCAGGUGGGCCCCAUGGUGAUGUCAGCAUGACUUGAGGAGCCCUGUGUAUGUCCUCACCCGGAAUCCUAACUGGCGAACCCUGGGCCACUGAAGCGGAGCACGUGAACGUAACCACUACACCAUGGGGCUGACCCACAGAUGUUGUUUUAAUUAUAUGUCUCCCAGCACUUAGUCUUUCCUCAUCUCUGUAAAAGUUAAUUCUUUGUCUCUUGAUCUGUUGCUGGACGUCAUUCUCUUUCUUUCCUCUGACACUUACAAUGGAUGUGACGUUGGUCCUCCUCAUUCUAUUACCCAAGUAUUUUAAAUUUCCAUUUCUGGUCUCCCUAUGCUGCAUUCUGGAAAAUUCCAUCAUUACUGUGUUCUGCUUUCAUAAUUCAGCUCUCUUGUCCUUGAGGGGAUGAAUUUUUUCAAUGUUUUAAUUCUACUGGAGUUUUCAUAUCUAAAAUUUCUAACUCAUUUCAAUACUUGCCUAUUCAAUAAAAACAA